rnacentral:rRNA from 1 species
UACGUAGGGGGCUAGCGUUGUCCGGAAUCAUUGGGCGUAAAGCGCGUGUAGGCGGCCCGGUAAGUCCGCUGUGAAAGUCGGGGGCUCAACCCUCGGAUGCCGGUGGAUACUGUCGAGCUCGAGUCCGGAAGAGGCGAGUGGAAUUCCUGGUGUAGCGGUGAAAUGCGCAGAUAUCAGGAGGAACACCGAUGGCGAAGGCAGCUCGCUGGGACGGUACUGACGCUGAGGCGCGAAAGCGUGGGGAGCAAACAGG